rnacentral:rRNA from 1 species
UACGUAGGUGGCGAGCGUUAUCCGGAAUUAUUGGGCGUAAAGAGCGCGCAGGUGGUUGAUUAAGUCUGAUGUGAAAGCCCACGGCUUAACCGUGGAGGGUCAUUGGAAACUGGUCGACUUGAGUGCAGAAGAGGGAAGUGGAAUUCCUGGUGUAGCGGUGAAAUGCGCAGAUAUCAGGAGGAACACCAAUGGCGAAGGCAGCUCGCUGGGACGGUACUGACGCUGAGACGCGAAAGCGUGGGGAGCAAACAGG